rnacentral:rRNA from 1 species
GGUCAUGCCGAGCACUCUGAAGGGACUGCCCAGGAUAACGGGGAGGAAGGUGGGGAUGACGUCAAGUCAGCAUGGCCUUUAUGCCUGGGGCCACACACGUGCUACAAUGGC